GAUGAACGCUGGCGGCGUGCCUAAUACAUGCAAGUCGAGCGAACAGACGAGGAGCUUGCUCCUCUGACGUUAGCGGCGGACGGGUGAGUAACACGUGGAUAACCUACCUAUAAGACUGGGAUAACUUCGGGAAACCGGAGCUAAUACCGGAUAAUAUAUUGAACCGCAUGGUUCAAUAGUGAAAGACGGUUUUGCUGUCACUUAUAGAUGGAUCCGCGCCGCAUUAGCUAGUUGGUAAGGUAACGGCUUACCAAGGCAACGAUGCGUAGCCGACCCGAGAGGGUGAUCCGCCCCACCGGAACUGAGCCACGGUCCAGACUCCUACGGGAGGCCGCAGGAGGGAAUCCUCCGCAAAGGGCGAAAGCCUGACGGAGCAACGCCGCGUGAGUGAUGAAGGUCUUCGGAUCGUAAAACUCUGUUAUUAGGGAAGAACAAAUGUGUAAGUAACUAUGCACGUCUUGACGGUACCUAAUCAGAAAGCCACGGCUAACUACGUG
rnacentral:rRNA from 1 species